rnacentral:rRNA from 1 species
AGGGCACCACCAGGAGUGGAGCCUGCGGCUUAAUUUGACUCAACACGGGAAAACUUACCCGGCCCGGACACUGGGAGGAUUGACAGAUUGAGAGCUCUUUCUUGAUUCAGUGGGUGGUGGUGCAUGGCCGUUCUUAGUUGGUGGAGCGAUAACGAACGAGACUCUAGCCUACUAAAUAGACCGUUGACUCUUUUGCGUUAACGGGACUUCUUAGAGGGACAGGCGGCGAUUCAGCCGCACGAGACAGAGCAAUAACAGGUCUGUGAUGCCCUUAGAUGUCCGGGGCCGCACGCGCGCUACACUGAAGUGAUCAGCGUGCAUAGGUAACCCGCUCUGACAAGAGUGGGUAACCCAAUGAACCUUCUUCGUGAUAGGGAUUGGGCAUUGUAAUUAUUGCCCAUGAACGAGGAAUUCCCAGUAAGCGUGAGUCAUAAGCUCGCGUUGAUUACGUCCCUGCCCUUUGUACACACCGCCCGUCGCUACUACCGAUUGAAUGAUUUAGUGAGGACUUCGGACUAG